CUUAAAGGAAUUGACGGGGACCCGCACAAGCGGUGGAGGAUGUGGUUUAAUUCGACGCAACGCGAAGAACCUUACCUAGGCUUGACAUGCUGGCGAAAACCGUGGAAACACGGUCCUCCCGCAAGGGACGCUAGUACAGGUGGUGCAUGGCUGUCGUCAGCUCGUGUCGUGAGAUGUUGGGUUAAGUCCCGCAACGAGCGCAACCCUUGUCAUUAGUUGCUACAUUCAGUUGGGCACUCUAAUGAGACUGCCGGUGACAAGCCGGAGGAAGGGUGGGGGAUGACGUCAAGUCCCUCAUGGCCCUUAUAGGUGGGGCUACACACGUCAUACAAUGGCUGGUACAAAGGGUUGCCAACCCGCGAGGGGGAGCCAAUCCCAUAAAGCCAGUCGUAGUCCGGAUCGUAGUCUGCAACUCGACUACGUGAAGUCGGAAUCGCUAGUAAUCGUGGAUCAGAAUGUCACGGUGAAUACGUUCCCGGGUCUU
rnacentral:rRNA from 1 species